GAUUUUUUUUUUUUCAUUUAUUAAGUAAGUAAUUCAUUUCAUGUUGCCUUUUUAAACAUAAUUGAUAUGACUCUCAGUUAUUUUUCAGUUUUCUUUUUCCAAGGGGAUUUGGUUCUGACUUGCCUUUUGGCCUCCAAAAGGAUCGUUGGCUGUAGAAAUUGUGGCUUUCGUUCAAUUCAAAUGUUUUAAAAGCUUGUACCCUUCUUUUUAGCACAACCCUAUAUCUUGUAUGUUGAGGCCCAAGAGCUGCACAAGUUUGAGUGCUGAGCCCUAACUGCACCUUGCCUGCUAUAUGGGGACCUGCCACUCUGUGCUGAUGGACACCAGUCUUUAUAGCCACAGCUUAGUGUUCAGUGAAGCCCCUGCUUUUUGGAGGCAGGGAUCAGGCCUGUGGCUGCCUGCAUUGGGAGCUACGGAGCUUGCUGUGCCUUGGCUGCUGGGUAGGUCUUUUCUACAGCUCAGGAGGAGGAUAAACAAGAAAUGCAUCCAUUAAGAGCCUGGUUUGUCUCACCAGCUCAAGGUAAGUCCAUUAGGGUGACAAUAUUUAAAUAUCUUAAAAUAUCUGUUCAUCUGGUUAAAUGUGGAUGGCACGCGGGAUCUGAACGUUAAUGCUAACUUUCUUCCUGGGCUGAUUUCAAGGCUAUCAUUAAAAUAAAAUGCUGCUGCCUGUUAAUUUGACCA
rnacentral:lncRNA from 1 species